GGGUCGACAGAUCGAGAGUGAGUGACAGCGCGCGGGGGCGCCAUGAGUGUGGCGUGGAUGGUGACCGCGGCCGCCGCCGCAGUGCUUGCGUCGUCGGCGUUCAACGCGCUGGUGCGCCUCGUCUUUCGGCCCUACGGCGUCUCCCGGAGGAUGCGUGCGCAGGGCCGGGCUACAGGUUCUUCUCCGGGAACCUCGGGCGAGAUGAGGCUGCCAAAUUGUCCUCCG
rnacentral:lncRNA from 1 species